UACAAUGCAGUUAAUCAUCCCCACUUUCCUCUAUGGAUAUGAAAUGUGGGUGACCUACUGUCAUCAUCUCAAGAGACUGGAGAGUUAAGACUAGUGAUGCCUUCAGAAAAUCACCUACAUCAAAUGGAAAGAUUGCUGCACAAACACCAGCAUCCUUGCGGAAAACAAUGGUACCA